CGUGAGAUAACGCGACAUGACCAAGUUGUCCAAUAAAAGGCGACACUGUUUACGCAUGAUUGGAUAACGGACAGUAAUUAUUCAUGUCACUUGAGAAAAUUACUUAUUACCUGUGGUCCUUCGUUACAUUGACGUAUGAGUUAUUGACGCAACUAACGUCAUGCGCAGAGACGGCGAAUUCGACUACGGCUGAUGGAUAAAUGGAAUAAUCGAAUCGCACAAUUGUAUUAUUUUGCGAUAUACAUAUAUUAACUGCCAAUAAUAUCGUUAUAAUCGUACACGCUUGCUUGUUGUUGACAUAAAGAUUUUUCACUAUUUACGUAAGCAUAAACUACGCAACGAACGCGAGUAAUUACAUCGGCGAUUAUACAUGUGUCAUUCAUUAAAGUCCAAUUAAAAACAAAUAAAACGUAGUGGUGCUGUAUACACGAGUACGAUAAUUUGCUUGGCUGUCUCAUAAUUUCUGCGCAAACAAAAAGUCUUAUAAGCGAGUUCCCUCGCAACAAUAAUGAAAGCAUAAUAUCAAACAUCCGCGAAGCGGUUAUUAUACUAGCACGGCGCGAUUGUAGACGUAAUUGAAUAAAAGGAGGUCCGCAGGUUACGUGAUGUCGGUGCGCUACACCUUCUAUCUGAGUCUAUUACAACCCUUUAUCGAACGAGUUACCGUAUAUGCUAACGAUGUUUAAUUAAUGUCACUACUGGACAACGUUUCUCAGGUUUGGACUUUCAUAUAAGCAGUGGACAUCAAGUGUUACGAUUACGGCGUGAAACGUGUUGAGGCACAACUUCACGUUACGAGUUUGAAAGACGUUGCCAAGAAAGAAGAGGAGACAUACCAAGUUAUCGAAAAAAAUUACACAGACGGAAAUAUGAUGUGAUAAACUCGAUUGUAUCCAGCAACGUCAAGUUACAGAAACUUACAGAUUUACUGUCGCAGACAGCACUAUUUUUGUACGAGCAGAGAGAUACAAUUUCCGGCGAGAGGACGCGGAGCAUACAUGUAUAAUGCACCUUUUUAGUUAUUGUGAUAUUCUCGUUGAGCAAUCGCUCAACUUAUUACUAGCAACCUAAAUAAUAAUAUAUCCCGUGUAGGCUGUUUACUUGUCCCACUGAAUAAAAUAACUAUUGCAUCAGCUUUCAA